UCCACCCGAUUGGUUCUAGCAGUUGUCC
rnacentral:piRNA from 1 species